UGACUGUGAAGAUGACAAUCUCACUAAGUACUCAAGAUAUAUUGAAAGUUUUUCAUGCUGUUAUUUAUUUGUUUCAUAAACAGUUUUUAAACAGCAAAAACAAACUUUGAAAACAAAAAUAACUAAAAUUAAUUAAGCACGUUAGAAAGUCAAUGCUCCAUUUGUUCAGUCAGAAUCUGCAUGUAGGUUUGGAUUUUCCAGGAUCAUUUUUCCUUCCUGUUUGUGGUUUAGAAAUGCUCCCACCUCCCAUCUGUGGUUUAAAUAUUCAAAUUAUGUCAUAUCCACCAUUUCAGAUCUACAGUAGAGCUGUGUUAGUGGAGUUGUAGUUGUCACCAAGGAAAGACGUGAAUCUACUGAGGAAAGUUUGAACAAAACAAGGAGAAAAAGUCAACAAGAUAGACAAACUGCUGGAGGAAAAUAAUUCAUCUGACAGCAAAGAUGCAGUGGAGUCUGAUUCUGCUCUUCCUGAUGGGUCAGUGUUGUUUGAUGGACUGUCAGCUCUAUGAGUUUCACUACAUU